rnacentral:rRNA from 1 species
AGAGUUUGAUCCUGGCUCAGAACGAACGCUGGCGGCAUGCCUAACACAUGCAAGUCGAACGCAAGGCUCUGGUUCGCUGGGGCCUUGAGUGGCGCACGGGUGAGUAGCGCGUGGGAACCUGCCCAGGAGUGGGGGAUAACCGAGGGAAACUUCGGCUAAUACCGCAUACGCCGGGAAACCGGGAAAGAUUUAUCGCUCUU